AAAGGCACGUCUGUCAGUAGCAACCUGUGGGGGAGAGGAGAGAGUUAACGCUUAGCUCUAUCACACUAAUACACACAGGCCUCAAUCAACAGCCACGGCUCUGAAGUGGAAAAAUCAAAUGGAGCAGCGGGUCUCUUACAGGUGAAUAUCUCAUUUGAACCUGAUCUCAUGAAGAAUCUGUACCACUGCAUCUGAUUUCAAGAUCACCUAUGGUGCAGUACAUGGCACUGUUUCACAUGCAUCACAAGUCACAAGACCCACCCACAUGAUGGGACACACACACACACACACACACACACUGUAAACGGGGACUACUGCAGGAGCUGCGCUUACAAAGCAGGAACUGUCUCUUUAUACAAAGGCAAGACUACCUCCUCUUUUAGCUGUAAGGAGGAGUGUGUGAUUUCAUUUUGUGCGCUGUCUGUGUUGCUGGCGAUGGCGUGUAUGCGUGUGUGUGUCCACAUGCGGACAAAGACCCUACUCAUAACUGAAACGGACGGGCCGAGGCAGCACACACUGACUCCAGUGUGUCACAGGGGAGAAGCGGACUGAUGAUGCAGCUCAUGUGAAAUGUGCUACGCUAGCUUUACUGGA